rnacentral:pre_miRNA from 1 species
UUCUUACUCCCUCCGUCCCAAAAUUCUUGUCUUACAUUUGUCUAGAUACGGAUGUAUCUAAUACUAAAAUAUGACUUGAUACAUCCGUAUUUAGACAAAUCUAAGACAAGAAUUUUGGGACGGAGGGAGUACAUC